rnacentral:rRNA from 1 species
UACGUAGGGUGCAAGCGUUGUCCGGAAUUAUUGGGCGUAAAGAGCUCGUAGGCGGUUCGUCGCGUCGGCUGUGAAAACCCGGAGCUCAACUCCGGGCCUGCAGUCGAUACGGGCGGACUUGAGUUCGGCAGGGGAGACUGGAAUUCCUGGUGUAGCGGUGAAAUGCGCAGAUAUCAGGAGGAACACCGGUGGCGAAGGCGGGUCUCUGGGCCGAAACUGACGCUGAGGAGCGAAAGCGUGGGGAGCGAACAGG